AGCGAACGUUAGCGGCGGGCCUAACACAUGCAAGUCGCACGAGAAUAGGGGGGCAACUCCCUUAGUAAAGUGGCGGACGGGUGCGUAACACGUGGGUAAUUUACCUGCCGGCGGGGGACAACCUUCCGAAAGGAGGGCUAAUACCGCGUACGUCGGCGAGGACUCCGGUCCUUGUCGGGAAAGGUGGCCUCUUCAUGAAAGCUACCACCGGCAGAUGAACCCGCGGCCCAUCAGCUAGUUGGUGAGGUAAUGGCUCACCAAGGCUAAGACGGGUAGCUGGUCUGAGAGGAUGAUCAGCCACACGGGGACUGCGACACGGCCCAGACUCCUACGGGAGGCAGCAGUGGGGAAUAUUGGGCAAUGGGCGAAAGCCUGACCCAGCCACGCCGCGUGAGUGAUGAGGGCCUUCGGGUCGUAAAGCUCUGUGGGGAGGGACGAACAAGCCUUGGGCUAAUCACCAGGGCUCUGACGGUACCUCCUUAGCAAGCACCGGCUAACCCUGUGCCAGCAGCCGCUGUAAAAC
rnacentral:rRNA from 1 species